ACCCGCUGAACUUAAGCAUAUCACUAAGCGCAGGAUCAAAAAUAACUAUGAUUGCCUCAGUAGCGGCGAGCGAAGCGGCAAGAGCCCAAGAUGAAAAUUCCUGCCCUUUGGACUUGAAGAAUUGUAAUCUACAGGACGAUCGCUGACAGGCUCCCUGAAGCCCAAGUGUCUUGGAAUAGACUGCCAUGGAGGGUGAAAGCCCCGUACGGCAUCGGGGAAGCGCUAGGCGGCGUCUCAAGAGUCGAGUUGUUCGGGACUGCAGCUCUAAGUGGGAGGUAGACUUCUCCUAAGGCUAAAUAACUAUGAGAGACCGAUAGCGAACAAGUAAUGUGAAUGAAAGAUGAAAAAUUUACUAUCCGUAAGAACUUUGAAUUAUACAAACAAGAGAAUUAAAUAGACCUGAAACCGUUGAGGAGGAAACGAUAGGACGUUUUCGUUUGGCAUCGAGCGAGCAAAGCAUAGACGAGCCUGCUCGCUGCCAAAAAGCAAGAUAGGCUCUACCCGCGUCACAACCGUCCACUGGGCCAGAGCUUCGGCAUCACUCAGGGAGCGGCCGUCGCGGGUGGGGUCGAGGGACUUCGUGUGAUCUUGCUAAACUUGAUAUUGUCCUACCGACCCGUCUUGAAACACGGAACAAGGAGUCUAACAAAUACGCGAUUAUGUUGGUGUUCUUUGAAACCAGACAUGAGCAAUGAAAGUAAGCGGUGCCAAUCGCAAGAUGCAGCAUCGGCCGAUUGUGAUCCUCUGGAGAAAUGUAUCGGCUACGAGCGUAUCUGUUAGGACCCGAAAGAUGGUGAACUACGCUUGGGUAGGGUGAAGCUAGGGGAAACUCUUGCGGAAGCCCGAAACGGUUCUGACGUGCAAAUCGAUCGUCAAACUUGAGUGUAGGGGCGAAAGACUAAUCGAACCAUCUAGUAGCUGGUUCCCUCCGAAGUUUCUCUCAGGAUAGCAAGGACAGUUAAAGCAGUUUUAAUUAGGUAAAGAAUAAAUGAUUAGAAGCAUCUGGGAGUUUUUAUUUUGCUCUCGACUUAGUUCUCAAACUCUAAAUAUUUGUAAUAACUCGGUAUUUCUUAAUUGAAGAUCGAGGCAGAAUGCUUGUCCUUAGUGGGCCAUUUUUGGUAAGCAGAACUGGCGAUGAGGGAUGAACCUAACUUUGAGUUAAGGUGCCCAACUGCACGCGCAUCAGAUACCACAAAAGGGUGUGUUGAUUCAUUUAGACAGCAGGACGGUGGCCAUGGAAGUUGGAACCCGCUAAGGAGUGUGUAACAACUUACCUGCCGAAUGAAUUAGCCCCGAAAAUUUUGAUGGCUCUCCAGCGUGCGACCGAUACUCAAACAUUGCAACGAAAGUCUGAUUGCAAUGAGUAGGAGGGCGUAGGCGUCUUGUCGAAGCUUUGAGCGUGAGCCUGAGUAGAAAGGCGUCUAGUACAGAUCUUGGUGGUAGUAGCAAUUAUUCAAAUGAGAACUUUGAAGGCCGAAGUGGAGAAGGUUUCCAUGAGAACAGCAAUUGGUCAUGGGUGACUCGGUCCUAAGAUAUUGGUAAACACCUUGCAAUUGAGCUUUGGCUCGCGAUCGAAGAAGGGAAAAUGAGGUUAAUAUUCCUCAAGCUGGCUAUGGAUGUCACGGUAACGUUUGUGAGCUCGGUGACACCAGCGCGUGCCUCUGGAAGAGUUAUCUUUUUCUUUGCUAACAGUCCAGCGACCCUGAAAUCGGAUUAUCCGGAGAUGAGGGUUGUAAGGCUGGAAUAGUGUAUGUUUGAUUUUCUUUAUACAAAUAGAAGCGCUCGCGAUGGUCCUUGAAAACCCGAGUGAGGUAAUUUAUUCCAUACCAGGCCGUACCAAUAACCGCAUCAGGUCUCCAAGGUU
rnacentral:rRNA from 1 species